CGAAGGGUAACAGUAUAAGGAAUAUAUCUGUAAAUAUGUUAUUAUACAUAGAUUGGACGGUAUUUCCAGUUUCAUGUGGUUUUAUAGCACUUUAGAGAACAUUCUCUGCACUCUUUUUAAUUGGGGUUACAAAAGCCUUUUGCCCAGGAAGUGCACACCAGAGUAACUGCAACGUCAAAAUUCCUCCCCCAGUCAGAUGAAAACACAG